rnacentral:misc_RNA from 1 species
AAAAAUAAAUAAAUAAAUAAAUAGGAGAGCAAACCCUUAGAUAUUGGAUAAAAACAAGAGGUUUUAAAAGUUCAAUUUAAAAGUGGUGUGGACUAUUCUCUAAUCACAUAUCAAAACUUGAAGCUGAGAACUGAUGGCAAUGCAGUACAGAUCAUCUCAAUGUAGAAUGUUAAUGGGCCUUUGAUCAAACAUCAAGUAAUAGGGAAUCCCUGAAGUAUCACAGAUGUCCAACUUAAGAUGGAUCAAUUUAGCUUGGUACAGAUCUUUAGAGCUCCUCUCAGUAAGUAGGCGUUUCUCUUCCUCCUCAAGUCGUGGCAACCAUUUCAAUCCAAGAGCACUUCCUGCUUUUGCUGCUACCAGGAAAUGUUCUUUUGCCAUCUCUACUGGA